ACCUGGGAUAGCUCAGUUGGUAGACCAUGAGACUCUCAAACUUGAAGGUCGUGAGUUUGAGCCCCAUGUUGGGCA